CAGUAGCCGCGGUAAUACGAAGGGUGCAAGCGUUAAUCGGAAUUACUGGGCGUAAAGCGUGCGUAGGCGGUGAGUUAAGUCUGCUGUGAAAUCCCCGGGCUCAACCUGGGAAUGGCAGUGGAUACUGGCUCGCUAGAGUGUGUCAGAGGAUGGUGGAAUUCCCGGUGUAGCGGUGAAAUGCGUAGAGAUCGGGAGGAACAUCAGUGGCGAAGGCGGCCAUCUGGGACAACACUGACGCUGAGGCACGAAAGCGUGGGGAGCAAACAGGAUUAGAUACCCCAGUAGUCCCUGUCUCUUAUAC
rnacentral:rRNA from 1 species